UAUCAGUGUUGCCAUGAGCAACACAUUCUAGCUUCAUUUCCUUAUUUAGUAUGCACUUCAGUAUAUAGUACAUUCUAGAAGGAUAAGUUUUAAGUGGUCCUUGUCCUCUUCUCCACCUCAAUUCUGAAUCUAGCUGCCAAGCAGAAAGUAAUGCAUAUAAUAAGUGAUAACUAAUUGUGGAAGAAUU
rfam:Ictidomys tridecemlineatus contig124673, whole genome shotgun sequence.